UACGUAGGGUGCGAGCGUUGUCCGGAAUUAUUGGGCGUAAAGGGCUCGUAGGCGGUUUGUCGCGUCGGGAGUGAAAACACACAGCUUAACUGUGUGCUGGCUUCCGAUACGGGCAGACUAGAGGUAUGCAGGGGAGAACGGAAUUCCUGGUGUAGCGGUGAAAUGCGCAGAUAUCAGGAGGAACACCGGUGGCGAAGGCGGUUCUCUGGGCAUUACCUGACGCUGAGGAGCGAAAGUGUGGGGAGGCGAACAGG
rnacentral:rRNA from 1 species